rnacentral:rRNA from 1 species
CAAUAGCGUAUAUUAAAGUUGUUGCGGUUAAAAAGCUCGUAGUUGGGUUUCUGUCUAAGUUGACCGGUCCGCCUUCCGGGUGAGUAUCUGGUUCGACUUGGACAUCCCUUGAAUGAGCACGCUGUCAUUAAUUUGGCGGUGUGUAAGUUCAAGCUUUUACUUUGAGGAAAUUAGAGUGUUCACGGCAGGCUUGCGCCUUGAAUAUAUUAGCAUGGAAUAAUAAGAUAGGACCUCGGUUCUGUUUUGUUGGUUUCUAGAACUGAGGUAAUGAUUAAUAGGGACAGUUGGGGGCAUUCGUAUUUAACUGUCAGAGGUGAAAUUCUUGGAUUGCGUUACGACGAACUACUGCGAAAGCAUUUGCCAAAGAUGUUUUCAUUGAUCAAGAACGAAAGUAUGGGGAUCGAAGACGAUUAGAUACCAU